GCUCAAUUUAAAAUCUGGCGGUCUUCGGCCGUCCGAGUUGUAAUCUGGAGAAGCGUCUUCCGCGCUGGACCGUGUACAAGUCUCUUGGAACAGAGCGUCAUAGAGGGUGAGAAUCCCGUCUUUGACACGGACUACCAGUGCUUUGUGAUGCGCUCUCGAUGAGUCGAGUUGUUUGGGAAUGCAGCUCAAAACGGGUGGUAAAUUCCAUCUAAAGCUAAAUAUUGGCGAGAGACCGAUAGCGAACAAGUACCGUGAGGGAAAGAUGAAAAGCACUUUGGAAAGAGAGUUAAACAGUACGUGAAAUUGCUGAAAGGGAAACGCUUGAAGUCAGUCGCGUUUGCUAGAACUCAGCCUUGCUUCUGUGAGGUGCAUUUUCUAGUGAACGGGCCAGCAUCAGUUUUGGCUGCCGGACAAAGGCCUUGGGAAUGUGGCACCUUCGGGUGUGUUAUAGCCCUUGGUCGUAUACGGUGGCUGGGACUGAGGAUCUCAGCACGCCUUCAUGGCGGGGGUUCGCCCACCUUCGUGCUUAGGAUGCUGGCGUAAUGGCUUUAAACGACCCGUCUU
rnacentral:rRNA from 1 species